rnacentral:rRNA from 1 species
UACGAAGGGGGCUAGCGUUGCUCGGAAUCACUGGGCGUAAAGCGCACGUAGGCGGCUUCUUAAGUCAGGGGUGAAAUCCUGGAGCUCAACUCCAGAACUGCCUUUGAUACUGAGGAGCUUGAGUCCGGGAGAGGUGAGUGGAGCUGCGAGUGUAGAGGUGAAAUUCGUAGAUAUUCGCAAGAACACCAGUGGCGAAGGCGGCUCACUGGCCCGGUACUGACGCUGAGGUGCGAAAGCGUGGGGAGCAAAC